CUUAAUUAGAGUUUACUCAUUAUAACAGUGCAAAAUACAAGCUGGUUUUGCUCUGGGAAUUGAAUUUUGCUGCAUUCUAUUCCUGGUUAGCAUCAAUUGCUUCUUAGCAUUGGCAAGGAUGCUCAUGAAAUCUGGACAUGUCUAGUGCAGGAAAGGUUGGUAGAUUUAACAAGGAGGCAUUAAAAAUUGAUUUAAUAGAGCAGUAGCCUGGACUUUAGCAUGUAACGUAAUUUCAGCAUUGCUCCAGGUAAUACAGGAACUGAAAUGCCUUGGUUGGACGUUUGAGGUUGCAUCACUGAAAUAAGUUUUGCCCGUGGCUGUUGUGGAAAAUUCCAUGUGGAUGUGCAAGCUUAUCAUCUGAUCUUCCAAGAUGCUGGAAUGUCCUCUAUUAUGUUCCCAGCAAUCUGGUGGCCAUCAACACCUUGCCGAUAAACUGGAAAUCUUCACCUUCUUCCAUCCUCACCUCUCAAAUGACCCAUGAAAGAGACUUGGAGAUCAAAGAAAUCCUCUUCCAUCCUUAUCCUUCGGACAGAGAGACUGAUGGGAUUUAGCACCCAUGUGGGAGUAUGAGCAUUGGUAACUGGGGAGUGGGAGAGGUGGAAAAUGAUUGGGGGAGGUGGUGGUGGA
rnacentral:lncRNA from 14 species